rnacentral:rRNA from 1 species
UAGGGAAUCUUCGGCAAUGGGGGGAACCCUGACCGAGCCACGCCGCGUGAGUGAAGAAUGUUUUCGGAUCGUAAAGCUCUGUUGUUAAGGAAGAACGAGCGUGAGAAUGGAAAGUUCAUACUGUGACGGUACCUAACUAGAAAGGGACGGCUAACUACGUGCCAGCAGCCGCGGUAAUACGUAGGUCCCGAGCGUUGUACGGAUUUAUUGGGCGUAAAGCGAGCGCAGGCGGUUAGAUGAGUCUGAAGUUAAAGGCAGUGGCUCAACCAUUGUAGGCUUUGGAAACUGUUUAGCUUGAGUGCAGAAGGGGAGAGUGGAAUUCCGUGGAUAGCGGUGAAAUGCGUAGAUGUAAGGAGAAAAGCCGGUGGCGAGAGCGGCUCUCUGGUCUGUAACUGACGCUGAGGCUAGAAAGCGUGGGGAGCAAACAGG